rnacentral:rRNA from 1 species
CCUACGGGUGGCAGCAGUAGGGAAUUUUCGGCAAUGGGGGGAACCCUGACCGAGCAACGCCGCGUGAAGGAAGAAGGAAUUCGUUCUUUAAACUUCUGUUAUAAAGGAAGAAAGACGGAUGGAGGAAAUGACAUCCGAGUGACGGUACUUUAUGAGAAAGCCACGGCUAACUACGUGCCAGCAGCCGCGGUAAUAUGUAGGUGGCAAGCGUUACCCGGAAGUAUUGGGCGGAAAGAGGGAGCAGGCGGCAGCAAAGGUCUGUGGUGAAAGAAUGAAGCUUAACUUCAGUAAGCCAUAGAAACCGGGCAGCUAGAGUGCAGGAGAGGAUCGUGGAAUUCCAGGUGUAGCGGUAAAAUGCGUAGAUAUAUGGAAGAACACCAGUGGCGAAGGCGGCCGCCUGGCCUGUUGCUGACGCUGAGGCACGAAAGCGUGGGGAGCAAAUAGGAUUAGAUACCCCUGUAGUC